rfam:Stegodyphus mimosarum contig91278, whole genome shotgun sequence.
ACCUUCGUGGUGUAGUGGUCAGCACGCUCGACGUGCAACCUAGAGGUCUGUGGUUCUAUUCCCGGCGAAGGCG